CAGGAAGCAUCCACAGACACAGAAUUGGCGGACGCUUUAUCUGCAUACGAAGGUGUGAACCAUCCUCACGAGUCGACAAAGUUAGAGUUAAGCGUCGUGACACGGGGCGAGGGGUUCAAAGAGGAAGGAGGAGGAGGAGGGGGGUAGCCAUCUACAACACGAGCCACUCAACCACCAGGGGGCCUGAGCUGGCACGCGAGAGUCAUCGCCACAAGAAUAGAAGGCGUCCUGUAAAGUGCAGUGGUAAUUGUAUCUACAAAAGUCGGUUACAAGAAUGUUUUAGGGUAAUACGUAUUCUGACAGAUUUGGCCGAAUCAAGAUAGGUCUGUUUUUUUAUUACUCUGUGUUAUUUCUGUUGUGAUUUGCUUUAAAAAAAGAAAUAUAAUGGAUCAUUC